rnacentral:rRNA from 1 species
UACGAAGGGGGCUAGCGUUGCUCGGAAUCACUGGGCGUAAAGGGUGCGUAGGCGGGUCUUUUAAGUCAGAGGUGAAAUCCUGGAGCUCAACUCCAGAACUGCCUUUGAUACUGAGGAUCUUGAGUUCGGGAGAGGUGAGUGGAACUGCGAGUGUAGAGGUGAAAUUCGUAGAUAUUCGCAAGAACACCAGUGGCGAAGGCGGCUCACUGGCCCGAUACUGACGCUGAGGCACGAAGGCGUGGGGAGCAAACAGGG